rnacentral:lncRNA from 1 species
AUCAAUGAAAAUAGUCCCUUGACACGUUAACAAAUUUAUAAACUGAUUCCAAACUUGUAUUUACUACUGUUUGAUAUCUUUCAUAGGUACGAAGUUGUACCAGAUAACAGACACAGAACCAGUAGAUUUACGUGACAUUUCCUAGUAUCCAGAGGUGACGCAAUAUCAGGUGAGUAGUUAAAUAUACAAAAAAAAUUAGGAUAUUAGAUAUUUGUAUUUCAUCUUCUACUCUUAUAAAUAUAUCUCUUUUAUAUUUUAAUCAUUAUUACUGAUACGCGUACGUAGUGUAACUAUUUGUGGGUACAUGUAUGUGUCUAGAAAUCAGAUCAGUGCACAAAUUAUGGCAUUGAUGAAUGAUGGUUCCACAUCCAGAAUCAUGUUAAAGCACCCUCUCAGAAUUAUAUUCCUUUUAUUAAAAAAUAUUAAUUGAUCACUUUUAACAGAAGACUUUCCAAUUUCAGUUAAAAGUAUGAAUGUCAGAAUGAUAUUUAUUUGGCCAUGCCCUAGUCCAAAUAAUUAUGACGUCUUAGCCUUUCAAGACGUCAUAAUUAUUUGGACUAGCCAUGCCCUACCCCUAGUCCAGAUAAUUAUUUCUGGGAGGCCUUCCAAUUUUGGUAUUUUGUAAUAGAAAUUAAAUGGUUGAAAGAAAAAAACAUGUCAAAACAAGCACUGUUGAAUAAAGUUGGACUGAUUCCCUUGUACUAGUAACCAGCAAAAAAAAAGCUGUGAAGUAAAAGGAUAUUGCCUACGUAGGCAUAUCUGCCCUAUUAGGCUAAUAUUUUUCAACACUGUGCUUGCCUUUGCAGAAAAUCAUAUGCAUGAGCUUUGCAAAGAACUAAUACAAUAGCAAAAUGCCAAAUAUAAACAGUCAGGGGACUUACAAGAAUAUUAAAGUGUAAAUUUGAAGUUUUGUCUUACAAAUGUAAAUUGAAAUUUUGUAGUUUUACCAAAAUUUUAAACAUAUAUAGGUUUAUAUUAUCAUGAUUAUCAUGAUUACAUCUUAUUAGUAAAAUUGGAAGAAAAAAACAAUUCUUUUAAAUAGCAAGGUUUAUGCCUUUGAUGCAACCAUUUAGGCAUUUAGCUGUAAAUUCUAUAUUAGUUGAACAAAUUUCUCUGUUUGAACAGGGGGUGUUGAAAUUAGUGUGGGUCAUUAAAAUAAAAAGAAGUGAUUCUUUUGAUGAAAAUAGAGGUACAUGUAUGGUACUUAAACAAGUGAUUUCAUGUCAUUAUCCAACAAACCUGAAACAUAAAUUAUAAUACAUAAUAUGGAAUAAAAUGUGUGUAUAAUUAAUUUUUUAUUGAAGAUUAUUUAAAGCAAUUAAAAGAUCAAAUUAAAGUUCAUUAUUUGAAUUGAAUGAUUUACUGUUGAGUUCCUUAAUUAUGAAAAAAAGAAAAAGAAAAAAAAAUACAAAUUACAUGACAUAAUAUGUUCUCUUUUUUCUAUCGGUAUAAUCUGUGACACAAUACACAUGAUACAUGCAAUAUAAUCACUACUAUUCUAACGAGGUAAAAAAAAUUACAUAUUGACUAGAAUAUAUGUAAAAUAAUUAUUUCAUUUUAUCAGUAUAUAAAAAAAAAAACUUAUACACCCUUACUAUGAUUACCCCAGACUGACAUUCAGACUUUAACAUUUGAUAUAUAUAUACAUGUUUGAUGAAAUAUGACAAACAGUGUCCAUAUUACAUGUCACAUGGUGGGUUAGAGUGCUUAUAAUGCACAUAACAUGAUAAGUGAAUAUAUUAAAAGAUCUAACAAUACUUGUGCAAAUUUCAUGAUUUAAAACUGUUAUUCCUUUUUCAGGUCAUUGAGAAGAAGAGCUCUAUUAAAAAUCAUUGUCAAAAGACACAAGAAAAGCUCGAUAUUUUUUAAAAUUAACAAUACACAAUGUCAGUUACAUUAUGUUCAUUAUUCGAAAUUGCCAAAAUUAACUAUUAGUUUCUCAAGGAAAUUCUUUGUUGUCAGCACAGUUGUUAGUUGAAAUUCAAAAACAACUUAAAAAAACAUACCAGUAGUUUCAAAAAACUAUUAUACCUGGAUAAAGACAGGAAGAAAAUGCCAUCAAAAAUGGAUCAAA